AUCAUAUCGAUCUAAUGAUGCCUUUUCAUUUAAAUAUAAUUCUCCAUUUAAUGGAGACUAACUUCACUAAGUUAUUUUGAAAUUGAUUUUCCUAGAUACCAACAUGGGAGACACUACAGUGGAAAGCAUAGCUGGAACGCAUGCUGGAACGCACAGAAGUAGGUGGAUAACAUCACUUCCGGUUUUCGUCGGUUUCAAAAUAUCAAUUAGCUGAGACUACAACAUCAAUCAUCCUCGACCAGGGUCAGGUGAAAAUGAUCCAAGAACCAGCAAUAGGAAGAAUGAAAAGGAAGGCACCCACUGGAAUUACCAAUGAACGAAAGGGACUAGCCCUAUUUAAGGGGACUGAUGGAAGGGUGG